rnacentral:rRNA from 1 species
CUAAGGCAGAGAAUUUAAUUCUGCCACACCGCCGCAGCGAAAAAGACCUCGGCGUUGGGAAAGUCAAUUUUUGUGGAAAGAACAAGAACCGUUGGAAUAGGGCCCUACCUUGACGGUACCCGACGAGAAAGCCCCGGCUAACUACGUGCCAGCAGCCGCGGUAAUACGUAGGGGGCGAGCGUUGUCCGGAAUUAUUGGGCGUAAAGCGCGCGCAGGCGGUUCCUUAAGUCUGAUGUGAAAGCCCCCGGCUCAACCCCGGAGGGUCAUUGGAAACUGGGGGACUUGAGUGCAGGAGAGGAGAGCGGAAUUCCAGGUGUAGCGGUGAAAUGCGUAGAGAUCUGGAGGAACACCAGUGGCGAAGGCGGCUCUCUGGUCUGUAACUGACGCUGAGGCGCGAAAGCGUGGGGAGCAAACAGGAUUAGAUACCCUGGUAGUCCACGCCGUAAACGAUGAGUGCUAGGUGUUAGGGGGUAUCCACCCCUUAGUGCCUGUAGCUAACGCAUUAAGCACUCCGCC